rnacentral:rRNA from 1 species
GAGUGCGAUCAUAGCUGCACUAAUGCAUCGGAUCCCAUCAGAACUCCGAAGUUAAACGUGCUUGGGCGAGAGUAGUACUAAGAUGGGUGACCUCUUGGGAAGUCCUAAUGUUGCAGCCC